rnacentral:tRNA from 1 species
GGAGAGUUGUCCGAGUGGUUUAAGGUGCGGCUCUCGAAAAGCCGUGUGCCCAACAGGCACCGUGGGUUCGAAUCCCAUGCUCUCCG